UCGCCCUCGGGACGGGGAUAGCGGCGGAAACUGCCGGUAAUACCCGAUAACAUCUUUGGAUCAAAUGGUGUGAUUCCGCCUGAGGAUGAGUCUACUUCCUAUUAGCUAGUUGGUGUGGUAAUGGCUCACCAAGGCAACGAUGGGUAGCGGGUGUGAGAGCACGAUCCGCCUCACUGGGACUGAGACACUGCCCAGACACCUACGGGUGGCUGCAGUCGAGAAUCUUCGGCAAUGGGGGAAACCCUGACCGAGCGACGCCGCGUGCGGGAUGAAGGCCCUCGGGUUGUAAACCGCUGUCGUAAGGGAACAAAUCUAAGAGGGUACUCCCUUUUAGUUGAGUGAUCUUAGGAGGAAGGACGGGCUAAGUUCGUG
rnacentral:rRNA from 1 species